UACGGAGGGUGCGAGCGUUGUCCGGAUUUAUUGGGUUUAAAGGGUGCGUAGGUGGCCUAAUAAGUCAGUGGUGAAAUACGGUUGCUCAACAAUCGAGGUGCCAUUGAUACUGUAAGGCUUGAAAUAAUUGGAGGCUGCCGGAAUGGAUGGUGUAGCGGUGAAAUGCAUAGAUAUCAUCCAGAACACCGAUUGCGAAGGCAGGUGGCUACGAUUGGUUUGACACUGAGGCACGAAAGCAUGGGGAGCAAACAGG
rnacentral:rRNA from 1 species